rnacentral:rRNA from 1 species
GACGAACGCUUGCGGCGUGCUUAACACAUGCAAGUCGAACGGAAAGGCCCUGCUUUUGUGGGGUGCUCGAGUGGCGAACGGGUGAGUAACACGUGAGUAACCUGCCCUUGACUUUGGGAUAACUUCAGGAAACUGGGGCUAAUACCGGAUAGGAGCUCCUGCUGCAUGGUGGGGGUUGGAAAGUUUCGGCGGUUGGGGAUGGACUCGCGGCUUAUCAGCUUGUUGGUGGGGUAGUGGCUUACCAAGGCUUUGACGGGUAGCCGGCCUGAGAGGGUGACCGGCCACAUUGGGACUGAGAUACGGCCCAGACUCCUACGGGAGGCAGCAGUGGGGAAUAUUGCACAAUGGGCGGAAGCCUGAUGCAGCAACGCCGCGUGCGGGAUGACGGCCUUCGGGUUGUAAACCGCUUUCGCCUGUGACGAAGCGUGAGUGACGGUAAUGGGUAAAGAAGCACCGGCUAACUACGUGCCAGCAGCCGCGGUGAUACGUAGGGUGCGAGCGUUGUCCGGAUUUAUUGGGCGUAAAGGGCUCGUAGGUGGUUGAUCGCGUCGGAAGUGUAAUCUUGGGGCUUAACCCUGAGCGUGCUUUCGAUACGGGUUGACUUGAGGAAGGUAGGGGAGAAUGGAAUUCCUGGUGGAGCGGUGGAAUGCGCAGAUAUCAGGAGGAACACCAGUGGCGAAGGCGGUUCUCUGGGCCUUUCCUGACGCUGAGGAGCGAAAGCGUGGGGAGCGAACAGGCUUAGAUACCCUGGUAGUCCACGCUGUAAACGGUGGGUACUAGGUGUGGGGUCCAUUCCACGGGUUCCGUGCCGUAGCUAACGCUUUAAGUACCCCGCCUGGGGAGUACGGCCCGCAAGGCUAAAACUCAAAGGAAUUGACGGGGCCCCGCACAAGCGGCGGAGCAUGCGGAUUAAUUCGAUGCAACGCGUAGAACCUUACCUGGGUUUGACAUGGAUCGGGAGUGCUCAGAGAUGGGUGUGCCUCUUUUGGGGUCGGUUCACAGGUGGUGCAUGCCUGUCGUCAGCUCGUGUCGUGAGAUGUUGGGUUAAGUCCCGCAACGAGCGCAACCCUUGUUCACUGUUGCCAGCACGUUAUGGUGGGGACUCAGUGGAGACCGCCGGGGUCAACUUGGAGGAAGGUGGGGAUGACGUCAAGUCCUCAUGCCCCUUAUGUCCAGGGCUUCACGCAUGCUACAAUGGCUGGUACAGAGAGUGGCGAGCCUGUGAGGGUGAGCGAAUCUCGGAAAGCCGGUCUCAGUUCGGAUUGGGGUCUGCAACUCGACCUCAUGAAGUCGGAGUCGCUAGUAAUCGCAGAUCAGCAACGCUGCGGUGAAUACGUUCCCGGG